rnacentral:lncRNA from 1 species
CACGGAGGCGGCACCUGCGCGCUUCUGCGAGAAUCUGCUUUCUGUUCCCCCGUGUCCGGGCGGUUCUCCGUUCGCUGCCACCGUUCACAAGUUGCGUUUGGCAGAAAAGCCGCGCCUUUCUGCUUUUCUCUCCAUUCUCACGGAAACGGAACGUCGCAGACUCUGCUCCGACUUGCACAUGGCAGUCUCUUGCGCUUUUUGACUGCUGCCGCUGCGGGUUGCUCCUCUCCCAUGGCAAAACUCCGCUACUGACACGCGAGCUGGGCUGCAGUGGAGCGUCAACUCCGUCGCGAGGGGCAGGGGAGGUGAAGGGCGUUUCUUCUCCUCGAUCUGUAGAACUCUUUCUGUUCUUUUCUUUCUCGAACGUGAGAACAUCCGUCGCCGUCUGCCUCCAACUUCUCGGCUGCGUUUCUCUUCCCGGCGAGGAACGGACAUCGACAGAAUGCGAAUCGAAAACCAGACAUGUCUUGGUGAGCCUGGGGACAAGUUCCUCGGCAUCGUUUCCUUUUUCGUCUCAUCUCUGACACAACUGCACACCCUUUCAAAUUCUGAGUAACCGGACGGUUGGACUUCCUUCCAGGUGCCCGCCGCAUACAUCACACACCCUUUUUGACUGCCGUUGUUGACGCCUUGAGAUUGACCCGCCGCAUCAGGUUUUGACGCCUCGUUUUUCUUCAUCUGCUCCGAGGGACUUUGCCGUGGAAAUCCAACCGUCCUUGUUGGCUCUCGGCAACUCUGACCUCCGCCCCCCGGAGACAAGAAGCGCCGUUCUCAGGACCCACUCGUCUCCGCAGGAUCCC